rnacentral:misc_RNA from 1 species
GUUUGAAUGAUGUGGGAUAGUUUAUAGUGCACUUGGCAAAGCUUACUGAGUGAAUAACCAAAGGCCGAAAAAUGCACAAGAUAGUAGUUCUUCUAGUAAGAAACCACUGCUUCCUGUUUCAUUCUUUACAAUCCUCUGAUACAGUGCUCAGAGUCUAUGCAAUCUCCAAACCUGACAUAAACUAUCAUACACCAUUUUGCGGACUUUUUGAAACUCCACCAACUGAAGGUUCAGAAAUUCUCUGUGGAUCACUAUGAAUUUCAGCUAAUGGGUUCACAAUAAACCCGCGACUACUAUGGAGCCGAUAUCUCCUAUUCUCCACCUUAAGUCUUUCACCAUCUCCAUUCUGAUCAGCUACGCUGCUUAUUAAACCUGCUGAUGAGGUUCCACCAGAAGCAGAGAAGUGUGCAGUUGCACCACGACCUAUUGUUCUCUUCCAAAGUUUUGAAGUCAAGAAUUCUGCACCUGGUAGCUUGCAACAUACAGAUGCAGAGUUGGUAUUGGACAUACUGCCGGUUGACAUAGCCAAGUCAAAUGAGAUCUCAUCUAAUGCCAGUUCCAGACCAUGUACACGUGUCUCCAGGGAUUGCAUGCCACUUUGUGAGCUCCCCAUAAAUUUCUGGAGAAGAUCUAACAAAUUGGACUGCUGAGUCUCAAUUUGAGCAAGCUGUUUCCGGAUCAGCGAGAGAUCUUCACAACUUUUUGGAUUCCCACAGAGAUCUUCAGUUUCAUUGCUCACAACUUCAGUAGAUUCUGAUAUCUCAUCUUGAUACGGAACCACACGAGAUCCAGCCUUCACCACACUAUUCCUGGUUUCAUUAGUGAUCUUACUAAAAAGAGUACGCUUGACUCCAGGUUUUGUAUGUGCUUCCAGAUCCUUGUCUUUGCCCAACUGUAUCCCAUCAUUGUUUUGCUGAUAAUCCACAGAAGAACCAUGAGGAGCAGAAACUUCAACUUUCCAUGGCUUCUUGCGAUCAAGUUUGCGAAAGAUUGCUGGACCUUUUUGGGCAGCAGAAGCGGUGGAAUUAUCUGCUACAGACGACUUGUUAGACAGCCUCUUUACACUAGGAACACUGGAGCUCACAGCCCUGGAAGUCUUCAAACCAGGCGGAUAACGUCCAUCACUUGCAUUUUCUUUGGAAGAGGAAUUCGACAAGGGAAGAGGGGAACCAUCAUCAGACAAAUCAGGGAUUCCCUUCCAUGCUUCCAACAUUUGAUUCAUUGUUUCCCUCACUGCCUUUACCUUAUCAAAUCGUUUCGCCUCGAAUGUCUUCAAGUACGGUGCUUUAAACUCAGAUAAAGCAUCUCCCUCGACUGCCACGAGUCUCAGUAAAGCCUCUGCACUGGCUUUCCG